GACGAACGCUGGCGGCGUGCCUAAUACAUGCAAGUAGAACGCUGAAGGAGGAGCUUGCUUCUCCGGAUGAGUUGCGAACGGGUGAGUAACGCAUAGGUAACCUGCCUGGUAGCGGGGGAUAACUAUUGGAAACGAUAGCUAAUACCGCAUAACAGUAGAUAUUGCAUGAUAUCUGCUUGAAAGGUGCACUUGCAUCACUACCAGAUGGACCUGCGUUGUAUUAGCUAGUUGGUGGGGUAACGGCUCACCAAGGCGACGAUACAUAGCCGACCUGAGAGGGGGAUCGGCCACACUGGGACUGAGACACGGCCCAGACUCCUACGGGAGGCAGCAGUAGGGAAUCUUCGGCAAUGGACGGAAGUCUGACCGAGCAACGCCGCGUGAGUGAAGAAGGUUUUCGGAUCGGAAAGCUCUGUUGUAAGAGAAGAACGAGUGUGAGAGUGGAAAGUUCACACUGUGACGGUAUCUUACCAGAAAGGGACGGCUAACUACGUG
rnacentral:rRNA from 1 species